rnacentral:misc_RNA from 1 species
CGAUGCAUAGACACACAAGCACUCAUAUUUUGCUCCUCCGUGGUGCGUCGUCGCCUCUUCGCUAGGUGCCCAUCUCAGACGUCACUCUCGACGACGCCCUAACCCUCGUCCGACUGACCCGAGACGUCGUCUAGUGGCGGCGGCGGAGGCAUUGGUCGUCCUGCGGGUGCAACCACGCAUACGCGGACACCCUGCACGCCCGCAUUGACAUCGUUGAAUAAAGAGAUACACGUCAGCCCUCAUCGGCCCGGCAUUCGGAUCUCCCUGCCCCUUCAGUCGUUACCACUGCUCGCACGUCUUGGUGUGCGUGCGUCUCCCACAAAAGGAAGGGUACGAACCACUGGGGAAAGACCACCAUGGCGAUUGUCGUGGUGCUGAUUGGGCAGUGCGGCAAUCAGCUCGGUGACGAGCUCUUCACGCAGCUGGCGCUGUGCACCUCCUCCAGCGCAUCAUCCGAAGCAGCCAAGUCGCCGUCGCGUGUUGCGGAUCCUUCUCCCUUCUUCGCGCUCGAUGGCAAGGCGCGCUGCAUCCUCGUCGACACGGAGCCGAAGGUCGUGCUUGGGGUGCAGCAGCGGCACCCCGACUUUAUUCGUGCGGAGAACGUGAUUCAUGGCCAGUCCGGCCGCGGCAACAACUGGGGUCUCGGCUACUACGGUGUCAAGACGGAGCAGAGCAAGCGCACGGAGCGCAACGCAGCCGUGCAGCGGGCUUUCCGAAAUAUCGCACGUGAUCAGCGCGAAGAGGAUGACAAUGUGCUGAGAAAGGCGUUGCAGGCAAUUCACCGCGAGACGCGCCGCACAAGCGACGCCGAGGAUGGCAGCGGCGGCUUCGAGUCCAUUCUCGUUCUUCACAGCCUCGUUGGCGGGACGGGGAGCGGGCUCGCAUCAAGGCUGACAGCGCGGCUGCGGCUCUAUUUCACAGAACCGCCGCCGGGCCAGCAGGUAGAUGAGGUGUAUGAGUCCAAGAUGAUGCACUACGACGGCUUUGACAGCUGCGUGCAGGGAACGCAGCGGCGAGCGCGACACCUAGUAAACAUCACCGUCGCCCCUCAGGCGCUAGGUGAGGUAGCGACGCAGGGGCUGAACGCCGCCUUGACGCUUCAGGUGCUGCAGCGGCACGCGGAUGCGAUCCUACUCCUGCGUAACGACGACGCGAUGGCACCUGGAGAGCCGAGCGGGAGCAGCGCGUGUUCGAGCGCGUCACUGCUAACACGGUGCGUCACCUUCAAGGAGGCGAAUGAGAUCCUCGUAGCGCUGCUGCUACCGGUGCUGGGCUAUGGCCGGCAACCCGGCUGUAUCACAAAUCUUCUGAUCCAAUGCAUCCCUCCGACGUACAAGCAAACCACAGGCGGCAACAAGAUACUCACGCUUCUUGCUGCGCCACAGCGCAGCUACGCCACCAUGCGGCAGUGCGUUCAUCGAGCGAUGUUCUUCAUCAUCAAAGGCGGCAGGACCUUUAUGCCCGGCUAUGUGCCGACGGUCCCCAUGGACGAGAUGCUGAGUCGCACCGCUCUCCGCAUUCAUGGAGUCGGAAGCGAUCAUGUUCGGCGUGGUAGCGACAGACCUAGCACGAGAGAGGCGCGCGGGAACGGGGAUGAUGGGGUCGCGCAGCAUCGUCUCUUUGAUUACAACACAAAGAAACUCGGCAGCCGUCGUCUGGGGUCUGACAACGGCGGUGAGGCUCGUGCAGGUACCGCCGCCACAGCAGCGUCCAGCCUUGCGUCACGGCGGCGUCAGCGAUCCACGCUACUCUCGGUCCCCUCUCCUCCAUCGCCACCAAGCGCACGAAUGCGAGGCGGCGAAGGGCGGUUCGGGAGUUGCGAGGAUGACGAGAGCGGCAGCGCCACCUGGAAUUGCGAAGACCUUGAAGAGCUCAACCAGCGCGUGUACCUCGAGUGCGUCACAACGAUUUCACCAGCGCUGUACCUGCACUAUCUACAACUGCGUCGUGCACCGGUAACGAAGAUGUUCGAGGCGCUUGAUGGAGUACUGGUGCUGAACCAGGCCGUUGAGCUGAAUAGGCGCGUGCUGCUCCCGCUUCUCCGGUCGGCUGCACUGAAGGUGUCGUGUGGAGCCUUCAUGUCCGCCUACGAGGACGUCGGCGUGAAGUCGGAACACGUGCGGCGGGCGUACCGCGAAGUCGCCGAGGUGCUGGCAGCAGCGGAGGAGCUCUAACGGCUCACUCAGCCGCAGCUGCGCAGCAAGAACGCCGAUGUCUUUGCCCUCCAGGUGUGCGUGUGUGUGUGUGUGUGUGUGCUGUAAGUGAUGCUCAGUGUGAGGUGCACGCAGGUCUCUCUUUUUCAUCCCCCGCCCCUGCUGCUUCCGUUAGUGGCGCUGGCGCCUUUGGCAGUGCCUUCCCUCUGUUUUGUUUGGGGUGGAGUGAUGAAAGGGGGAAGGGAAUGAGAUGGGCUGUGCUCGGCAGAUGCUGUGUUGGCCCGCAGCUUGUCCCGCAUGCGCUCUCCGCUUCCCUUCACGUUGGCGGUCUUUGGAAGGUCCGCUCUCGCCACCGCCUUUCUGGCGCGUUCCGUAUCGCUUGCGCCUUACAGGUAUCGCACACGCAGCGACUCACGCACAUACCUCGGCGACCGCAUCGAGCCCUUUUUGAUGUUCUCUGGAUGAGCGCGAGUUCACGUUUCAACUUUGCCCCUCCGCCCCGCGCACGCCAUAGAAUGCGGUGAUGGUUGGUGCCCCGCAUGCCUUUACGCGAGCCGCAGCUCUUCUGCUGUGCUGCCCACACCUGCCCGACUUUCCGUUGCGCCCCCUACUUCCCUCCUCCCGACCUCUCGCAUCCUGCGCCGCGUAAG